rnacentral:rRNA from 1 species
GACGAACGCUGGCGGCGUGCUUAACACAUGCAAGUUGAACGGAAAGGCCCUGCUUUUGUGGGGUGCUCGAGUGGCGAACGGGUGAGUAACACGUGAGUAACCUGCCCUUGACUUUGGGAUAACUUCAGGAAACUGGGGCUAAUACCGGAUAGGAGCUCCUGCUGCAUGGUGGGGGUUGGAAAGUUUCGGCGGUUGGGGAUGGACUCGCGGCUUAUCAGCUUGUUGGUGGGGUAGUGGCUUACCAAGGCUUUGACGGGUAGCCGGCCUGAGAGGGUGACCGGCCACAUUGGGACUGAGAUACGGCCCAGACUCCUACGGGAGGCAGCAGUGGGGAAUAUUGCACAAUGGGCGGAAGCCUGAUGCAGCAACGCCGCGUGCGGGAUGACGGUCUUCGGGUUGUAAACCGCUUUCGCCUGUGACGAAGCGUGAGUGACGGUAAUGGGUAAAGAAGCACCGGCUAACUACGUG